rnacentral:rRNA from 1 species
GACGAACGCUGGCGGCGUGCUUAACACAUGCAAGUCGAGCGGUAAGGCCCUUUCGGGGGUACACGAGCGGCGAACGGGUGAGUAACACGUGGGUGACCUGCCUCUAGCUCUGGGAUAAGCCCGGGAAACUGGGUCUAAUACUGGAUAUGACUCCAUGACGCAUGUUGUGGGGUGGAAAGCCUUGUGCGGCUGAGGAUGGGCCCGCGGCCUAUCAGCUUGUUGGUGGGGNGAUGGCCUACCAAGGCGACGACGGGUAGCCGGCCUGAGAGGGCGACCGGCCACACUGGGACUGAGACACGGCCCAGACUCCUACGGGAGGCAGCAGUGGGGAAUCUUGCGCAGUGGGCGAAAGCCUGACGCA